UACGUAGGAUGCGAGCGUUGUCCGGAAUUAUUGGGCGUAAAGAGCUCGUAGGCGGUCUGUCGCGUCGAUCGUGAAAACUUGGGGCUUAACCCUGAGCUUGCGGUCGAUACGGGCAUGACUGGAGUUCGGCAGGGGAGACUGGAAUUCCUGGUGUAGCGGUGAAAUGCGCAGAUAUCAGGAGGAACACCGGUGGCGAAGGCGGGUCUCUGGGCAUACUGACGCUGAGGAGCGAAAGCGUGGGGAGCGAACAGG
rnacentral:rRNA from 1 species